rnacentral:rRNA from 1 species
AACGGGCCCUUGCCUCAGCAACGGCGAGUGCAGCGGCAAAAGCUCAAAUUUGAAAUCUGAGGCUUUCCGCCCCCGAGUUGGAAUUUUGAGAAGGGGGUUUGGUGGCGGCCCCCUGGCCACCUUCCUUGGAACCGGGCAUUCCAAAAGGGGAAAAUCCCGUCUGGGGGGGCGGCCUGGCUCCCUGGAAAACGCCCUCCACCAAUCCAGUUGUUUGGGAAUGGCACUUUUAAUGGGUGGGAAAUUUCCUCCAAAGCUAAAUAUUGGCGAAAAAACCAAAACGAAAAAAUUCCGUGGUGGAAAAAAGAAAAAAAAUUUUAAAAAAAAAUGGAAAAAUUCCUGAAAUUGGUUAAAGGGAAAGGUAUUGGAUCCAAAUUGGUGGUGUGGGAAUAACGGCCCUUCCUGGGCCGCCCCCCUCCCCCCCCCCCGGGCCACCAUCGGUUUGGGCGGCAAAAAAAGGGCGGGGGAACGGGGCCCUGCUCCCGGGCAGGGGGUUUUUACCCCCCCCUAAUUUUGCCUGCCUAAACCAAGGACGGCGGCUUCUGCCUAGGAUGCUGGGGUAAUGAUCCAACCCCCCCCGUCUGAAAAAAAAAACACAAAAA